UACGUAGGGUGCGAGCGUUAAUCGGAAUUACUGGGCGUAAAGCGUGCGCAGGCGGUUCGUUGUGUCGGCGGUGAAAGCCCCGGGCUUAACCUGGGAAUGGCCGUUGAAACUGGCGAACUGGAGUGUGGCAGAGGGGGGUGGAAUUCCGCGUGUAGCAGUGAAAUGCGUAGAGAUGCGGAGGAACACCGAUGGCGAAGGCAGCCCCCUGGGCCAAUACUGACGCUCAGGCACGAAAGCGUGGGGAGCAAACAGG
rnacentral:rRNA from 1 species